rnacentral:lncRNA from 1 species
CCUUUUCAACCUUCUGCUCUGCUUGAUUAUCGUUGCUCUCUUCCUGCUGUGUGCUUGGACUCUGUCCCUCCCUCGAAGAUUUUUCUUCAGGUUGGGUGCUUAAAAUCUGUCCGUCAUUCAAAGAUUUGCUGCUGUUUGCUUCCUCGACAGCAUUGGGCUUCCCCUGUUGAAUUAGAAUUUUCCCCUCAACAUUGUUAGUUCAGUGCACAAGUCGAAGUCAUUUUCUUAAGUACUUUACAUACCAUAAAAGCAUAAAGAAAUAACAGAAGAAACAGUGUCUUCUACAGAUAUCACAUUACAUCAGCGAUAAUGGAGUUCUAUAGAUGCUAUACCAUUCGUCCAGAAUACUGUGUCCACCAAAAUGCAUGUAACAAUGACAGAAUGGUUUGUGCUCGAGCAAUGAAGAGAAGAACGCAUAUGACAUGCACAAGUUCAAAAACAUCAUAAUUGUACGGAAAUUGCAGGAAGCAAAAUUACAAACCACCAAGAAACGAAAAAAAAGCACAAAGAUUAGUCAUUUGUACCACCAAAACCUGGAUUAAGGUGUAUCAGACAAGAAAGGAAUUGCAUGAUGCAUAACGUCACUAUGAAAAUAUGUAUUCAUCGAGAGAGCCAUUGCGCAUCUAGAUAAUAUAAGUAUCAUAAAUCAGGUUACCAAUUAGUAAUUUUACCAGUUGACUGCACAGACUAAUAUCAGCAACAUUGUUGCUUCCCAAACUAUUAUUGUCAAUGAAUGUACGAGACAAACAAUAAAUGGACUCAGUUUUACAUUGGUUCUGUGAGGGGCGGAAGCAUAGAGAAGGAAAAGAAAGAUAUAUGAACAAUAGAAAAGGGGGAAAGAAUAUUUCUAUAUUGCUUCCAGAAGGAACUCCAGUGAUGAUUUAGGCAUUACCUAGCAAACGAGGGAAACCACCAAGUCAAAAUUAUGAAUCAUUUGCCUUUUCAACCUUCUGCUCUGCUUGAUUAUCGUUGCUCUCUUCCAGCUGUGUGCUUGAACUCUGUCCCUCCCUCGAAGAUUUUUCUUCAGGUUGGGUGCUUAAAAUCUGUCCCUCGUUCAAAGCUUUACUGCUGUUUGCUUCCUCGACAGCGUUGGGCUUCCCCUGUUGAAUUAGAAUUCUCCCCUCAACAUUGUUAGUACAGUGCAAGUUGUUUUCUUAAGUACUUCACAUACCAUAAAAGCAUAAAGAAAUAACAGAAGAAACAGUGUCUUCUACAGAUAUCACAUUACAUCAGCGAUAAUGGAGUUCUAUAGAUGCUAUACCAUUCGUCCAGAAUACUGUGUCCACCAAAAUGAAUGUAACAAUGACAGAAUGGUUUGUGCUUGAGCAAUGCAGAGAAGAACGCAAAUGACAUGCACAAGUUCGAAAACAUCAUAAUUGUACGGAAAUUGCAGGAAGCAAAAUUACAAACCACCAAGAAACGAAAAAAAAGCACGAAGAUUAGUCAUUUGUACCACCGAAACCUGGAUUAAGGUGUAUCAGACAAGAAAGGAAUUGCAUGAUGCAUAACGUCACUAUGAAAAUAUGUAUUCAUCGAGAGAGCCAUUGUGCAUCUAGAUAAUAUAAGUAUCAUAAAUCAGGUUACCAAUUAGUAAUUUUACCAGUUGACUGCACAGACUAAUAUCAGCAACAAAAUGGUAAAUCGACAGACGAAAAACAAAAUAGAGUGAGUCACUUGAUACUCACAGGAAUACCAAAACUGUGGAACAUAAUGAGUCUUAACAUGAAUAGGGGAGUUUCUUGACUG